GAAGCCUCUAAUGUUGUUUCACAUAGUCAAAAGUCCUGUGCCUGUAAAGGCAGUAAUGGUUGAAAACACUUGGAAACUUCCAGUGCUUAUUAGACGCGUUAUUUAUGCUUGUUCUUCAUACUCUUGUCUACUCAAACAUUUUGCUUGCUUAAGAUCUCUUUUACUUCCUGUUUGCUGCUCACAAAGUUGGUCAGCCUCAGUGCGGCUGUGUCGGCCCAGCCUCUCUCAGCUUCACUGAGAACUUCAGAUACACUUCCUGCCAAACCAUUUCUGACCACCCUGUUUACAUAUGCUCCACCUCUGCCCACGCUUGUCCAAAUAUAGAGGCAGAGGAUAUCAGUCAAAAGACCUUGUAGAGAUGACCUGCUAGAAACGAAAGGAAAACAAAGGUGGUCUAGAGGGGGUUACUUGAUAACUGUGUCUGUGGCUCACUUGAGACACCCCAAUUUCCUGUUAGCUCGGAUCAGCCAAAGGCUUAGCUCUUAGCAAUUUACAAGUCUGGUUGCCCACAUUUCAAGGAUCUGUGGUUCUUGUGCCCUCUCCUAAGUCCCCUCUGACUUAAGUAAGCUACAGCUAGUUCCCACAAUUUGCAUCAACUUAAGAAUUGAACGUGAUAUGGAAGUCCAAUGGAAAGAUUUGACUAAAUUUCACUGACUAAAAGUAGUUUUAAAGGUUAGAAGAAAAAAUGUGUUUAUGUACAUGUUCCUGUGUGUGUGUGUGUGUGUGUGUGUGAGAGAGAGAGAGAGAGAGAGAGAGAGAGAGAGAGAGAGAAAGACCAGAAGUUGACACUGAAUGUCUUCUCCUAUUACUCUCAUUUUUUGAAACAGUCUCUCACUGAGCCUAGCUCAUUAAAAGCAGUGAUGAAGAACUCAAGCAGGACAGGAACCUGUAGGCAGGUGCUGAUUCAGAGGCCAUGGAGGGGAGCUGCUUUCUUAUACAAGCCAGGACCACCAGCCCAGGGAUGGCACCAUCCAUAAUGGGCUGGGCCCUCCCCCAGACAUCACCAAUUAAGAAACUGUCCUACAGAAUUGUCUACAGCCAGAUCUUAUGAAGGCACUUUCUUAAGUGAGGAUCGCCUGACCCCACCCCCAUGACUCCAGCUUGUGUCAAGUUGACAUAAAACUAGCCAGUACAGUUAGUUUACCAUCGCUGAUGGCUGAAGAUGUCUUUCCUCGUAUCUAUCUCCAGGUUGUUGUCUUCAAAACACACAAGUAAAGGACUCAGGCAGCCUGGAGAUGCAGCUCAGUGCUAAAGACCUUUCUGAGCAUGCCCAUGGACUGGGGUUUUAUCAUGCACUAUAAAUCUGAAAAUGUUCAAGCUUGAGGUACAUCCAAGUUUGAGGUGUACACUGUGUGCAGGCAAUGAAGAUCCACAGAAGUUUCUGGAAAUGUGGAUAUACUAUUUUAAAGCAGAGCGCUUUGCUAACGGAAAGUUGCACAGGAACAUGUCAAAACAGGAGACAGAGAGACCCAGUUGGAGAGUGUUCUCAUGGAAUAUACCAGAAAUGGUGAACAUCAGCACCACAGCAGAGACAUUGGGGAGAAGGGGAGACUUAAUUACUUCAUAUAUGAGUGCUUUUCUUGCAUGUAUAUCUGCGAACCAUGUAUGUGCAUCUUGCCAGUGAAGGCAAGAAGACAGUGAUACCUCCCAUGGAACUGGAGUUACAGACAAUUGUCAGCCACCAUGUUGGUGCUGGGGAUCGAGCCUGGGUCCCUUUGUAAGAGCAUCAAGUGCUGCCAGGCA